GUAGGGAAUAUUGGGCAAUGGAUGCAAGUCUGACCCAGCCAUCCCGCGUGCCGGAAGAAGGCCCUCAGGGUUGUAAACGGCUUUUGACGGUGAAGAACCGACAGGAUGCGUCCUGUUUUGACGGUAGCCGUUGAAUAAGCACCGGCUAACUCCGUGCCAGCAGCCGCGGUAAUACGGAGGGUGCGAGCGUUGUCCGGAUUUAUUGGGUUUAAAGGGUGCGUAGGCUGGAAGGUCAGUCAGCGGUGAAAAGCUAUCGCUUAACGAUAGUCUUGCCGCAGAUACUUCCUUUCGUGGAUGAGGAGGAGGCCACUGGAACGGAUGGUGUAGCGGUGAAAUGCAUAGAUAUCAUCCAGAACACCGAUUGCGAAGGCAGGUGGCUGUACCUUAAUCGACGCUGAUGCACGAAAGCAUGGGGAGCAAACAGGAUUAGAAACCCUAGUAGUCC
rnacentral:rRNA from 1 species